CAGCUCCGUUAUCAAUCUCGUCCAUUAUUGGCGGAUCUUUAUCCGGCCCUGUUGACGGAGCACUUUUCCGCGAAACUGGUCAGUGUUCCAGAGACUCGAAGCUAAAAGGACUGAUUGUGUGGUGCAACCUAACCUCCAAGCGUCCGAAGUUAUCUUUCACGUACGUACGCAAACAGUAGCGGCACCUUCGCGAAAAAGCACUUCGAAAGUGUAUAAAUAGCAGCAAGAAGGAAAGAUUCUACUCGAGAUCCCGUUUUUCGAUCGUUGGGCGAUUGUGCGAGCAACAGCAGGGAAAUAAAAGAACGAACUUGUGCAUCGCGGUGUGCCAAUCGUGGCCAGUUGUAUUGUAUUUAUUUGUUAGCUACCACGUAUUUAUGGUGGUGCAUCAUCACCGCCAUCAUUUGCAACGAGCGGCAUACAUCAUCAGUUCGCAAGUGCAGAUCGUGCGUGUUUGUGUUUGUGUGUGUCUGUACGUAUGAUCGCAUGAUCACCGUUUGCUGGUGUGUGGUGGUGCAUUGUGAUCGCAGGUCGCGUAUGUUUACAUUGCGCCCGCGUGGAAGAAAGUAACGCCGCGUAGCGUAUCGUACGAUUUUGCCGUUGCCACAUAACCACUUACCUUGUCCACGUGCCACAACAACACAGCACCAUUCCGGUUGUGGAAAGAAAGUGACGGAAAGCAGUCCAUUGUCUUGAGUGGCGUGAUCGACGGCGUUAGGAGAAGCUGUAAUUUCUUCUGGACGAUCGAUUCCAAAAACACCAGGGUCCCGUAUUCGGAUGCCGUCCAGCCAGGGUUAUCACAAAGUAGCAUCGGAGCCACCGAUCGAUCCCGUGGAAGCGGGAGGCACCGGAACAACGCCCCUCGGUCUCAGCAACAGCACGAUCAUGCCGGGCGGCAAUAGUAACAGUGGCUCCGCCAUGGUGACGGGGACGGGUGGGACCGGUAGCGGGACAAUUCAGUCAAAUCCGGCUGGCAAAAUACCGGCCACCAACUCACAGCAGCGCCUCAUGCCCACCGAUUCGGACUCCGUGUCGUCAUCGCUGGACGACGCGGACAUUGACGUAGACCAUCGGAGAACCCAUCGGCACGAAGAUGAUUCGACGACGACGACGACCACGACAACGUUUGGCUCGAUAGGGGCCAACGCUUGGUUCACCGUUGGAGUACUCUGCUUCGUCAACCUCAUCAACUACAUGGACCGGUUUACGAUUGCAGGUGUGCUGACCGAAAUACAGGACCACUUCAAGAUAGGCGAUGACGAGGGCGGCCUGCUGCAGACGGCCUUCGUCCUGUCGUACAUGAUCUGCGCGCCCCUCUUCGGGUACCUGGGCGACCGGUACUCCCGCAAGUGGAUCAUGGUGCUCGGUGUGUCGCUGUGGAGCACCACGACACUGCUCGGCUCGUACAUGCACCAGUUCGGCUGGUUCAUCACCUUCCGGGCGCUGGUCGGCAUCGGGGAGGCCUCGUACAGUACGAUCGCACCGACGAUCAUCUCCGAUCUGUUCGUAGGCGAAAUGCGCUCGAAAAUGCUCGCCCUGUUCUACUUCGCGAUCCCGGUUGGGUCUGGAUGCGGGUACAUCAUCGGUGCGCAGAUGGCCAGUCUGAUGAACUCGUGGGUGUGGGCACUUCGGGUGACACCGUUCCUGGGGCUGAUCGCCGUCGUGCUGAUCAUCAUGCUGCGGGACCCGGAACGCGGACAGAGCGAAGGAUCGCAUCAUAUGCAGGCCACCUCGUACGGUGAGGACAUCAAGGCGGUCAUGCGUAAUCCCUCGUUCAUGCUGUCGACCGCAGGCUUCACGUGCGUUGCCUUCGUGGCCGGUGCGCUGGCCUGGUGGGGCCCGAAGUUCAUCCAUCUCGGUUUGACAUCCCAGGCGGGCAACGAGCAUGUCACACUGAACGAGGUGUCGUUCAUAUUUGGUGCCAUCACGAUGACGACCGGUAUUAUCGGCGUACCGCUCGGUUCGUACCUGUCGACGCGGCUCAGCAUCAAGUUCCCGCAGGCCGACCCGUACAUCUGUGCGGGCGGGCUGCUCGUGAGCGCUCCCCUCCUGCUCGGCGUGUUGUUCGCCGCACGCGUGAACAUUAUCGCGACCUACGCGCUUAUCUUUUUCGCCGAACUAGCACUGAAUCUCAAUUGGGCGAUCGUGGCGGAUAUUUUACUGUAUGUCGUUGUACCGACGAGACGAUCAACCGCUGAAGCUUUCCAGAUUCUGAUCUCCCAUGCAUUCGGAGACGCCGGCAGUCCUUACUUUGUUGGUUUGAUGUCGGAAGCUAUCAAGCGAGUGAUCCGGCUGUCCGCCGAUGCGUACUCCGGCUUCGAAAUGGUACGGCCAGCGAUCAGCAUGCGCAGUUUGUCGCAACUGGCCGAAAAUGUUACCGUCACUGCACUGGAAGUCAUCAAUGCGACGACGACGACGACGACGACGACGACCACGUUAGCACCGUCGAUGGAUCAGACAGUGCCGGACCCGGAAGAUGACUCGCCACUGGUAAAGUUCCGUGCCCUCCAGUACGCCCUGUUCUCCACCUGCUUCGUGGAGAUCCUCGGCGGAGUGUUCUUCAUGAUGACCGCCAUUUACAUCGUGCGCGAUCGGCAACGCGUAGACCAGGCGAUCAGUGGAUGUCAGCUCGAGCUCAGCGAAAGCUCCGGAUCGGACGGCAACGGUACGGACGACGGUCAACGGUCGCUGCGGACGGCGGUGGCCAGUGGUAGCACCAUUGCUGCGACCUCCUAACGGCGCCGGCAACCAAGUGAAGUGAUCUAAUUGGUGGUGUCCUUCGGUUCGUAACAGCGUCAUCAUCCCGAGUGGAUCCGAUCAUCCAUCCAUCCGUUCCCCCCAUCGACCCGUGCUAGUCUGUGAUCUGUAAUCCCUUUGCCAUCCCCUUCCUCCGUCCUGUGGAAAAAAGGAUAAUCCCAACACCAAAAAGAAAACACGUUACGAAUCGAAGGCGGUUGUGUUGAGUGUCCCCGGGGGACACUCCGAAACAAUACCCGCUGGUUAGACGCUUCUUACUUGCCAUUCACUUGCUUUAGCGAAUCAAUCGAGCAGUGCCUCCGCACACCGACUGGAAGGCUCGGUCUCCGACAUGGAAGACACGUUACCAAGCGCACCAUAAAAUGCCGCGUGUAGAAGGAAGCGAACAACAAAAGACUCCCGCCUCGUCCAACAGAGAAACGUCCCCGCCGUGCACGUAGCGAUUGGCAUAUGCAUUUCAAAGUGAGACGAGCAAAACCGUUCUAUCUUGUUGUAGGAUGAUCGUGAUCGAUGACCGCAAAGAUACUACGGGGGGAACCCAGGGUGUUCCCAAGUGUGCUCGAUCGCGGUAGGGUUAAGGAUAGAGAACUAAACAGAACUGAGUAUCGCGUACAGAGGUAACCGCGCGUGAGAAGAUGGUCCUCCUUGCGGUGACCUCCUCGGUCAUUCGCUGCUCUCGCAAUUUCUUCUAGGAGCACAUUACCACAUCACACACCGUUUCAGCUCGGUUAGCAUAGGGAAACGGUAAUGAUUUUCUCAACCUAAAAAAAAUGGAGCAAAUCAAAUCCCUACCAAUCAAUAGAUACGUUUAAGAAAAUGUAUCUGAAUGUAGAAAAAUAUCAAAAACACACAUAACAAAAAAAAACCACAAAAAGUAAACUCCCAAAAGCUGUAGGCAAUCGAUCGGUUUAUCCUACGAUCACGCAUCGCGGAUGAUCGGUUAUGUAUCAAAUUUAGGAUUUAAAAUUAAUUUUUUUUUGCGGUUGGUUGGGAAAGCAUUAGCAAUUUAAGGACAGGGUGUGUACAUAGAACUACUCUACUCUAGAACCCAAAACAAUUAGACACUCAAAUACGCAUACCCUAAACACACGCAUUAGGAAGAUAGGAUUGAUAGCAGUUUUGCUGUUCAGGGACAUUGUUUCUAGUUUAGGAGUACGCGAACGUAACGCGUUUCUUCUGCAAAACGUAGGUCAUCACCAUAAAGGUCGGUUGUAAAUUAAAAACCCGCCCUUUCCACAUGUUCCAACGUGAUUCUGAAUAAUUGUACGACGACACACUACGGUACGAUAGGGAAAAGGGAGCAUUGAAUGCCUUGCCUAGAGUAAGGCAAAAUACGGAACUACGGAGAUACGAAAGGAUUGGUAUAUAAGUCCAUAAACUCUGAAGCGGAAAAGAACAAGGGGCCAUUUGAGUUUGCCGGGUAGACUAAAUUAUUCGCGUGAUAGAAUGUGUUUAUUGGAAUACCGAUAGUUGACAAAUUGGCGGCCAACAGCUGCAAUUGACUGACAAAAAAACGGCGAAAAAAAGCAAAGGCAAGGCACAAACGCCAACAAAACGUGUUAGGCAAAUGUUUGAAGAGAGAGAGAGUGGUAGCAAAUUUCGCAAGCAUGUUGAAUUAGUGGAUCAAACCUUAUCAAUUUCAAGUAUUUCUUCCCCCCGGCAAGUCAAUAUUCACGAUAUAGAGAGACUGUCGAUAUGAGAAGUGAUUCUUGUCUUUCGACCUUUGCCGGUGUAUACAUACGGCUCUUAUAUCUCCUCCCCCACAGUAAGAUAGAGGGAAACUCUUGCCUCCCCUCGGACGCGGAGAUUGUACCCCCUGCUGAACCAAGGCGACCAAAACCCCUAAACUAAAUACCGUGAUUUAAUAGAAUUCAUCAUGCAAGGGAUGAAUUAGGCUGAAGAUGACGAGCAGUAGAAUAGGAAAGUUUAUUAGAAAGCGGAAGCAUAUUUAUUAUUAGAUUUUCUGUUUAUCAUUUUGUCUUGUUUUGGGCCGGGAAUGAACUGAAUGAACGAGAAAAUGGAUUGAAGUUUAAAUAUAACUGAAAAACUGUA